CCUACGGGCGGCAGCAGUGAGGAAUAUUGGUCAAUGGUCGGGAGACUGAACCAGCCAAGCCGCGUGUGGGAAGAAGGUUUUCGGAUUGUAAACCACUGUUCUUGGUGAAGAUAAUGACGGUAACCAAGGAGAAAGCUCCGGCUAACUACGUGCCAGCAGCCGCGGUAAUACGUAGGGAGCAAGCGUUGUCCGGAUUUACUGGGUGUAAAGGGUGCGUAGGCGGUCUUGCAAGUCAGACGUGAAAACCACAGGCUCAACCUGUGGACUGCGUUUGAAACUGUGGGGCUUGAGUGAAGUAGAGGUAGGCGGAAUUCCCGGUGUAGCGGUGAAAUGCGUAGAGAUCGGGAGGAACACCAGUGGCGAAGGCGGCCUACUGGGCUUUAUCUGACGCUGAGGCACGAAAGCAUGGGUAGCAAACAGGAUUAGAUACCCGUGUAGUC
rnacentral:rRNA from 1 species